GACGAACGCUGGCGGCGUGCUUAACACAUGCCAGUCGAACGGGCCCGCCCCUGUUUUUGGGGGUGGGUUGAGUGGCGAACGGGUGAGUAUCACGUGAGUAACCUGCCCCCUGCUCCUGGAUAACUGCUUGAAAGGGCGGCUAAUACGGGGUGUGCCGGCUGGUCCGCAUGGGCCUGGUCGGGAUAGUUUCAUCUUCGGGUGUUUCGGUGGGGGAUGGGCUCGCGGCCUAUCAGCUUGUUGGUGGGGUGAUGGCCCACCAAGGCGGUGACGGGUAGCCGGCCUGAGAGGGUGGGCGGCCACACUGGGACUGAGACACGGCCCAGACUCCUGCGGGAGGCAGCAGUGGGGGGUAUUGCACAAUGGGCGGAAGCCUGAUGCAGCGACGUCGCGUGAGGGAUGGAGGCCUUCGGGUUGUGAACCUCUUUCUCCGGUGGUGAAGGCCCUGUCCGUUGCGGCGGGGUUGACGGUAGCCGGGGAUGAAGCGCCGGCUAACUACGUG
rnacentral:rRNA from 1 species